AGAGUUUGAUCAUGGCUCAGGAUGAACGCUGGCGGCGUGCUUAACACAUGCAAGUCGAACGAUGAUGCCAGCUUGCUGGUGGAUUAGUGGCGAACGGGUGAGUAACACGUGAGUAACCUGCCCUUAACUCUGGGAUAAGCCUGGGAAACUGGGUCUAAUACCGGAUAUGACUCCUCAUCGCAUGGUGGGGGGUGGAAAGCUUUUUGUGGUUUUGGAUGGACUCGCGGCCUAUCAGCUUGUUGGUGAGGUAAUGGCUCACCAAGGCGACGACGGGUAGCCGGCCUGAGAGGGUGACCGGCCACACUGGGACCGAGACACGGCCCAGACUCCUACGGGAGGCAGCAGUGGGGAAUAUUGCACAAUGGGCGCAAGCCUGAUGCAGCGACGCCGCGUGAGGGAUGACGGCCUUCGGGUUGUAAACCUCUUUCAGUAGGGAAGAAGCGAAAGUGACGGUACCUGCAGAAGAAGCGCCGGCUAACUACGUGCCAGCAGCCGCGGUAAUACGUAGGGCGCAAGCGUUAUCCGGAAUUAUUGGGCGUAAAGAGCUCGUAGGCGGUUUGUCGCGUCUGCCGUGAAAGUCCGGGGCUCAACUCCGGAUCUGCGGUGGGUACGGGCAGACUAGAGUGAUGUAGGGGAGACUGGAAUUCCUGGUGUAGCGGUGAAAUGCGCAGAUAUCAGGAGGAACACCGAUGGCGAAGGCAGGUCUCUGGGCAUUAACUGACGCUGAGGAGCGAAAGCAUGGGGAGCGAACAGGAUUAGAUACCCUGGUAGUCCAUGCCGUAAACGUUGGGCACUAGGUGUGGGGGACAUUCCACGUUUUCCGCGCCGUAGCUAACGCAUUAAGUGCCCCGCCUGGGGAGUACGGCCGCAAGGCUAAAACUCAAAGGAAUUGACGG
rnacentral:rRNA from 1 species